UUUAUAUUGAGAGUUUGAUCCUGGCUCAGGACGAACGCUGGCGGCGUGCUUAACACAUGCAAGUCGAGCGAUGAAGCUCCUUCGGGGGUGGAUUAGCGGCGGACGGGUGAGUAACACGUGGGUAACCUGCCUCAUAGAGGGGAAUAGCCUUUCGAAAGGAAGAUUA
rnacentral:rRNA from 1 species